rnacentral:rRNA from 1 species
CCUACGGGAGGCAGCAGUUAGGAAUCUUCGGCAAUGGGGGAAACCCUGACCGAGCGACACUGCUUGGAGGAUGAAGGUUUUCGGAUCGUAAACUCCUGAACGAGGGACGAAUAAUGACGGUACCUCGCUAAUAGCACCGGCUAACUCCGUGCCAGCAGCCGCGGUAAUACGGAGGGUGCAAGCGUUAUCCGGAAUCACUGGGCGUAAAGGGCGCGUAGGCGGUUUGUUAAGUCCGAUGUUAAAGCGUGAGGCUCAACCUCAUCACGGCGUUGGAUACUGGCGAGCUGGACGGUUGGAGAGGAAGGUAGAAUUACCAGUGUAGCGGUGGAAUGCGUAGAUACUGGUAGGAAUACCCAUUGCGAAGGCAGCCUUCUGGACAACACGUGACGCUGAGGCGAGAAAGUGUGGGGAGCAAACCGGAUUAGAUCCCCGGGUAGUCCACACCCUAAACGAUGCAUACUUGGUGUCGGCCCGUUGGGGUCGGUGCCGGAGCUAACGCGUUAAGUUGCCGCCUGGCAGACGCCGAACGUGC